UACUCAACAUCGGAUCAUAGGAUGAAAACUCGAGUUUUCACAAUCUAAAUUCACUAUGCCUCGAAAAACACUGAGAACAUACCGAUAAUCACGAUAACGUGUUCAAAAUCAACGAAGUUCGUGUGUAUUACAAAAAUCUGACAGAUUCAUUACUUCGUGACAAAAGUGUGUGAUAUUUCUUCUUUUUCUUUUUUUCUCCAUUUUACUUUUGUUCAACCUUCUUACCUCUUUUCUUCUCGCAUUUACCUUCCCCUUUACGUUUUAUCCCUUAAAUAUCUUAUCUCCCAUUUUCAUCUGCCGGGUAAAAAAGAAUACUCUUUACCCUUCCUCUCCUCUGUCUCACCCCCCCCCUGUCUCUUCUAUCUUUUUCUAAGUCUCUCAUUUUCUCCCCCUCUUCGCCGACACAUCGCGUAUUUUUCUUACUUUUACUAAAUGUCCACGAUAACAACACAAUUUUCGGUUCUUUUACACAACGUGAACGUGGAUGAGUGAUUAUAUUUUCACACGAUAGCCGAUCGUCGGCUAUUCUACCUUGUAUGCGAGUGAAUGCUCCCUACGUUUAACUGGUGUCAAUGUACACACGGUGUAACGUUAUCGUAGCAUUGGCCAGAAAGCAUUUCUAAAAGAAUCUUCGUCCAGCUAGAAAUUCGACAUGAUGAAUAGCAGUGCUAUGCUUAAGAAAGAAAGCAAAAUGCGUAUUCGUGCUUUUCCGACAACUAUGGAUGAAAAGUAUGUAGAAAGUAUUUGGGCAUUACUAAAAAAUGCUAUUCAGGAAAUUCAGAAGAAAAAUAAUUCAGGACUUAGUUUUGAAGAACUUUACCGGAAUGCUUAUACUAUGGUUCUUCACAAAUAUGGGGAACGUUUGUACACAGGUUUAAAGGAAGUUGUAACACACCAUUUAGAAACUAAAGUCAGAGAAGAUGUAUUAAGAUCUCUCCACAACAAUUUUCUUCAAACAUUAAAUCAAGCUUGGAAUGAUCAUCAGACAUCUAUGGUGAUGAUUAGAGAUAUCUUGAUGUAUAUGGACAGAGUAUAUGUGCAGCAGCAUGAUGUGGACAAUGUGUAUAAUUUGGGACUUAUCAUAUUUAGAGACCAAGUGGUCAGAUAUGGAUGUGUUAGAGAUCAUUUACGAGAAACUUUAUUAGGUAUGGUAGCAAGAGAAAGAAGGGGAGAAGUUGUAGAUCGUAUUGCGGUAAAAAAUGCCUGCCAAAUGUUAAUGUUACUUGGCAUUAACAGUCGUCAAGUUUAUGAAGAAGAUUUUGAAAGGCCUUUUUUACAACAAAGUGCUGAAUUUUAUAGAAUGGAAUCUCAAAAGUUCUUGGCAGAAAAUAGUGCAUCAGUAUAUAUUAAAAAAGUUGAAGCUAGAAUUUGUGAAGAAUCAGAAAGAGCAAAACAUUAUUUAGAUGAAUCCACUGAACCACGGAUAGUAGAAGUUGUAGAAGAAGAACUAAUUAAAAUUCAUAUGAAAACUAUUGUUGAGAUGGAAAACAGUGGUGUGGUACACAUGCUCAAAAAUCAGAAAACUGAAGAUCUUGGUUGCAUGUAUAAAUUAUUUUCAAGAGUUUCGGAUGGUUUGCGUACAGUGUGCGACUGCGUUUCUCAAUUUCUUAAAGAACAAGGACGUGCCAUGGUUCAAGAAGAACAUGAAUCGACAACGAAUGCCGUUCUUUUUAUACAAAAUUUAUUGGAUUUAAAAGAUCGUUUCGAUCAUUUUCUUCAUUAUUCGUUUAACAAUGAUAAGAAUUAUAAACAAAUGAUCGCGUCUGACUUUGAAUAUUUUCUAAAUUUGAAUACAAAAAGUCCAGAAUACCUUUCACUUUUCAUUGAUGACAAGCUGAAAAAAGGUGUUAAAGGGAUGACAGAACAAGAAAUUGAAGGUAUCUUGGAUAAAACUAUGGUUUUAUUUAGAUUUCUUCAAGAAAAAGAUGUAUUUGAACGGUACUAUAAACAGCAUUUAGCUAAACGUCUUCUUUUAAAUAAAUCCAUGUCCGACGAUAGCGAGAAAAACAUGAUAUCCAAACUUAAGACUGAAUGUGGGUGUCAAUUCACAUCAAAAUUGGAAGGAAUGUUUAAAGAUAUAACAGUUAGUAAUACCAUUAUGGAUGAAUUCAAGGAUCAUGUCCUUACAUCUAAUACAAGCUUGCAUGGUGUGGAUAUAAGUGUAAGAGUUUUGACAACCGGGUUUUGGCCAACACAGUCUGCAACUCCAAAAUGUAGCAUGCCAGCUGCUCCACGUGAUGCUUUUGAUGCCUUUCGACGUUUCUAUCUCGCUAAACAUAGUGGUCGGCAAUUAACAUUACAACCACAAUUAGGUUCUGCGGAUUUGAAUGCUGUAUUUCAUGGACCACGAAGAGAAGAAAGUAAUUGUGGUGGUUUAGAUACACCAUCAUCUUCAAGUUCCAUUGGCAAUGGAAGUAGUAGUUUAUAUGGUAGUGGAAUAUCCACUAAUGGUAGUAUUUUAAGCCAACGUAGCAGCAGUUGUGGAAACACAAGAAAACACAUAAUUCAAGUAUCAACUUACCAAAUGUGUGUUUUGAUGCUUUUCAAUAAAAGAGACAAAUUGACAUACGAGGAAAUUCAAGGUGAAACCGAUAUUCCAGAGAGAGACUUGGUUAGAGCAUUACAAUCUCUCGCAAUGGGUAAAGCUACACAAAGAGUACUAUUAAAACAUCCUCGUACAAAAGAAAUAGAACCUUCACAUUAUUUUUGCGUCAAUGACAGCUUUACCAGUAAAUUACACAGAGUAAAAAUUCAAACAGUAGCCGCGAAAGGUGAAUCAGAACCUGAAAGAAGAGAAACUCGUAACAAAGUGGAUGAGGACAGAAAGCAUGAGAUAGAAGCAGCUAUUGUUCGUAUUAUGAAAGAUAGAAAACGUAUGCCUCACAAUAUACUUGUAACAGAAGUAACAGAACAAUUAAGAGGUCGAUUUUUACCAUCACCCGUAAUAAUUAAAAAGCGUAUUGAAGGUUUAAUCGAACGUGAAUAUUUGGCACGCACGCCAGAAGAUAGAAAGGUGUAUACGUACGUUGCUUAAUUCUCAAAUUUAAAUGUUGGAUCUGUACAAACAUUGUUCUUUUACAAACAUUAUUAAGAUGAUCACGAACGAGGCAUUCCACAUCACAGCCGUAUACAACUCGGGCAGAUUAUUGAUUCAACAUUCCAUUAAUUUAUGUAUGCCAAAAGUGGAAUCUACGAAUUUGUAACAGAUGCGGAGUUUACUGAUGGAAUUAGAAACAGAGUGCACGCAUGAGCUUAUACAAAAGACGAAGAACUUAAUAAAGGAAUGUGAAAAAAUAUAUAAUUAAGAACCAUAUUAUUGGGUUCAAUGAGCUCGCGUGCCGGUAAAUGAAAAUCAUGUGAAAUGCAUCAUAUUUUUAUUUUCAUUUAUAUCUUUAUUUAUUAAUAUAGAGUUUUAAUAUUUAAA
rnacentral:misc_RNA from 1 species